rnacentral:rRNA from 1 species
UACGGAGGGUGCAAGCGUUGCUCGGAUUUAUUGGGCGUAAAGGGUAGGUAGGUGGUCUCAUUUGUCUGAGGUGAAAGCCUUGAGCUUAACUCAAGAAGUGCCUCAGAAACGGUGAGACUAGAGUCCUGGAGAGGGUCGUGGAAUUCCCGGUGUAGCGGUGAAAUGCGUAGAGAUCGGGAGGAACACCAGAGGCGAAGGCGGCGACCUGGACAGGUACUGACACUCAACUACGAAAGCGUGGGGAGCAAACAGG